UGGGGAACUUUGGACAAUGGGCGCAAGCCUGAUCCAGCAAUGCCGCGUGCAGGAUGAAGGCCUUCGGGUUGUAAACUGCUUUUGUACGGAGCGAAAAGGUCUGCCCUAAUACGGUGGGCUCAUGACGGUACCGUAAGAAUAAGCACCGGCUAACUACGUGCCAGCAGCCGCGGUAAUACGUAGGGUGCGAGCGUUAAUCGGAAUUACUGGGCGUAAAGCAUGCGCAGGCGGUUAUAUAAGACAGAUGUGAAAUCCCCGGGCUCAACCUGGGACCUGCAUUUGGGACUGUAUAGCUAGAGGACGGUAGAGGGGGAUGGAAUUCCGCGUGUAGCAGUGAAAUGCGUAGAUAUGCGGAGGAACACCGGUGGCGAAGGCAGUCCCCUGGGCCUGCACUGACGCUCAUGCACGAAAGCGUGGGGAGCAAACA
rnacentral:rRNA from 1 species